rnacentral:rRNA from 1 species
CCUACGGGUGGCAGCAGUGAGGAAUAUUGGUCAAUGGACGAGAGUCUGAACCAGCCAAGUAGCGUGAAGGAUGACUGCCCUAUGGGUUGUAAACUUCUUUUAUAUGGGAAUAAAAUGUUCCACGUGUGGGAUUUUGUAUGUACCAUAUGAAUAAGGAUCGGCUAACUCCGUGCCAGCAGCCGCGGUAAUACGGAGGAUCCGAGCGUUAUCCGGAUUUAUUGGGUGUAAAGGGAGCGUAGGUGGAUUGUUAAGUCAGUUGUGAAAGUUUGCGGCUCAACCGGAAAAUGGCAGUUGAAACUGGCAGUCUAGAGUACAGGAGAGGUGGGCGGAAUUCGUGGUGUAGCAGUGAAAUGCGUAGAUAUCACGAAGAACUCCGAUUGCGAAGGCAGCUCACUGGACUGCAACUGACACUGAGGCUCGAAAGUGAGGGUAUCAAAAGGGAUUAGAUACCCUUGUAGUC